rnacentral:rRNA from 1 species
GAUGAGCGCUGGCGGCGUGCCUAACACAUGCAAGUCGAACGGAGAUUACGGACGGAAGUUUUCGGAUGGAAGCCUGUAAUUCUUAGUGGCGGACGGGUGAGUAACGCGUGGGCAACCUGCCCUAUACAGGGGGAUAGCAGCUGGAAACGGCUGGUAAGACCGCAUAAGUCGGUUAAAUCGCAUGAUUUGAUCGGGAAAUGAGCAAUCAGGUAUAGGAUGGGCCCGCGUCCGAUUAGCCAGUUGGCAGGGUAAAAGCCUACCAAAGCGACGAUCGGUAGCCGGACUGAGAGGUCGGACGGCCACAUUGGGACUGAGACACGGCCCAAACUCCUACGGGAGGCAGCAGUGGGGGAUAUUGCACAAUGGAGGAAACUCUGAUGCAGCGACGCCGCGUGAGUGAAGAAGUAUUUCGGUAUGUAAAGCUCUAUCAGCAGGGAAGAUGAUGACGGUACCUGACUAAGAAGCCCCGGCUAACUACGUG